UACGAAGGGUGCGAGCGUUAAUCGGAGUUACUGGGCGUAAAGCGUGCGCAGGCGGUUCGUUGUGUCGGCGGUGAAAGCCCGGGCUCAACCUGGGAAUGGCCGUUGAAACUGGCGAACUGGGAGUGUGGCAGAGGGGGUGGAAUUCCGGCGUGCAGCAGUGAAAUGCGUAGAGAUGCGGAGGAACACCGAUGGCGAAGGCAGCCCCUGGGCUGACACUGACGCUCAGGCACGAAAGCGUGGGGAGCAAACAGG
rnacentral:rRNA from 1 species